UGCGAACAGCAGUCAGCAGCAAGGCUGUAAGCAGCGAUGGAAGUGCAAGCAGUUAAUAUUCAUUGAUAAACUAAAAGUUUGAUGAAGCCAUUGCGGUAAGGACGCGCGUUUAAGUUGUAAUCCUAAGUUACGUGUGUGUGUUACAUGGUCGUGGGGUGCGUUCCCCGUACCUGUAAACCGCCCUAAGACGAGCCGAGGGCUCAAGGGCUCCACUAAAAGCACAUCUUGAAGCACUCACAAAAAAAUUCCCCAUCCAACUGAAACCACUCUCCUCCCCACCUGCGCAUAGCUCAUCUCCGCCUGUUGUAUCAGUACGAACGUUUGCUGCGAAAACACCUUUGGAGCCAGCCGAUGGAGAAACAUCCGAAGUAUUACAUUCAAGCCACACAGGGUGAGCUGAAUUUUAUCCUGACUGUACUGUUUUCCGUACAACGGUACGGAAUGUACAAGGGUACAUGGACGGCAUGGGAUAUACGGCAUUGCGCCAGGGUUUGGAUAAAGGGGUUUUAGGGGCCAAGAGAGCGGGGGCGAGUGGGGAUGAGAGUUUGGGACAACGGCGAAUAACCGCGGGUGCCCUAACGAUCUUGGGUGCUAAAUUAGGCAAUCCAGACAGGAGUAAAAGUAUUAUUGUGCAAGGAAAAGAAUCGCGUACGACAUGUAUUGUACGUCAACAAAGACAUUCGUUCAAAACGCCUACCUAAAAGCUCAGACCGAGUCAUACAUGCACUGGCGCUGUGAUGGCGGGAUGUGAUACAUGUGACCCUGCUCACAGGUGCCCCAAGGUGACGAGCCUAAAAAGGCCACCCGCAGCGAUCCGACACCUUGGCUUUUGGGGGUGUUUACGACAGGCUAAAUUGGCCGUGCUGCCGUACAGAACGAUAUGGCCCAUGCUGCUUCUGCACUGUCGUACCUGGUACGGCGCUCCGAAAGUCAUUAUCUCAGCCAGCGCCGCGGCCUCCGGCGCCCGGCGCCCCUCGUAAAGAGGCAGCGCCCGGGCCAGGUUGCCAUCCGCCGCGUGUAGAGCCUGAACAGGACAUUACCCCAGCGGGCGCAUAUGCCGGGGAAUCAGAACUUAACGCACUCCGAGAGUCCAAUCCAGACAGGAAUAGGUCCGGACCAGCUAGCAGGAAAAAACGGGGAGGGGGUUGGAUUGAGUGUAUGACAUAGGUAAUCUGCUAAUUGGAAAUCAGUGGUACGGACAAGUACGGCAAACUACGGCACUCCUUCACUUUGCAUCCCUGCAUAUUCACGACGCUGUACGGACCUAUAGCUGAAUACCGUCCCCCAACACUACAUCAUUCAGCGGCGUAGCCCCAAUCCCCCGCACCGCAGCAACUGCCCGUGCCUUGCCCCCUAAUGUACGGCUGCCGUACAGUACGGCGAUUACACACCUUUGCAAAUUCCAUCACGUCCUGCAUGGCGCUGUUUACUCCCUGCCCCAGGUCCGGUGGAAAGCAGUGUAUCGCGUCUCCCAAAAGUACCACGCCACAGGAGGAGGAGGCGGCGGCGGCGGCGGCGGCAAACUGCUGG
rnacentral:lncRNA from 1 species